rnacentral:rRNA from 1 species
AGGGGAGCCGGAGGGAAACCGAGUCUUAAUUGGGCGUUAAGUUGCAGGGUAUAGACCCGAAACCCGGUGAUCUAGCCAUGGGCAGGUUGAAGGUUGGGUAACACUAACUGGAGGACCGAACCGACUAAUGUUGAAAAAUUAGCGGAUGACCUGUGGCUGGGGGUGAAAGGCCAAUCAAACCGGGAGAUAGCUGGUUCUCCCCGAAAGCUAUUUAGGUAGCGCCUCGUGAAUUCAUCUCCGGGGGUAGAGCACUGUUUCGGCUAGGGGGCCAUCCCGGCUUACCAACCCGAUGCAAACUGCGAAUACCGGAGAAUGUUAUCACGGGAGACACACGGCGGGUGCUAACGUCCGUCGUGAAGAGGGAAACAACCCAGACCGCCAGCUAAGGUCCCAAAGUCAUGGUUAAGUGGGAAACGAUGUGGGAAGGCCCAGACAGCCAGGAUGUUGGCUUAGAAGCAGCCAUCAUUUAAAGAAAGCGUAAUAGCUCACUGGUCGAGUCGGCCUGCGCGGAAGAUGUAACGGGGCUAAACCAUGCACCGAAGCUGCGGCAGCGACGCUUAUGCGUUGUUGGGUAGGGGAGCGUUC